rnacentral:lncRNA from 1 species
GGGUAAUGAGCAGCAUGGUUGAUUAGUCAGAGAUUGAACACUGUGGAAGAAUGCCUGGAAGAAAGAUAUGAGAGAGAGAGAGAGAGAGAGAGAGCACAACUUGGAGUGAGAUAAAUAGAGUAGAAACAAAGGCAGAAAAAGAUCUGUGCUUGUAGGAGAAAGAAUGAGGUCCACAGCAGAAAAUACGGGCUUAGAGAGGAGCAGUUAGCCUUGGGCUAUGAAAGAGCAUUAGGAGCUGAGUGAAAGAGAUGCCUAAAUAAGAGGGUGUACAUGAAGUAAAGAGAGAAAAGCUGGAUAAUAGCUAUACGUGGGGGUCAGGGGUCUAGCUGGAAAUGGUCCAAAGAAAGGAGAGAACCUGAUGUUUGGAGAGGAAGACGGGCAUGAUGACUCAAGAGAUGACAACUGUUUCUGCUGAUGAGGUACAGCAGUAUAUCCGUGAGCAGUCAACUGCAGGAUCGAAGCACCACUGGGCAUAAGUCUUAAUUGGUGUGAGUGAGUCUCCUUGACUUAAUUGUGACUAUUUGCUUAACUAAAGAUCUCAUGGGCAUCUACCUAAACUAGCAAUCUUGGAACAAAAUGAAAACCUGGGUCAUAACAUGGGGAGAUGAAAUCCUGGCCUCUUUGAAAUCCAGGUCAAAACUCCCAUUGCCUUCAGUGGUGCAGGAUUUCAGCCUGGAUGUUUUUGCUUGGGGGAUAAUCCUUUCUGGAUACACAGCGGCAGUAAAACCCUUUUGACUGGUCUCUCUCUGUGUAAUCAAGCAUGAGAAACAGGAAGGAGAAAAGGUUCUGACACUGUAAUAAAAAUGUUCAGAGGUCAAGUUUUUAAAAAGACACUUCAACAUCGGACAACAGCAAAGUUGUAUGCGAGACAUGUGGAGCACAUUUAUCGAUUGCCCACAGCAGCCAAAAUGACGUUACCCAGCACCUUCAAAGCAGAGAUGCUGAUAAAAGAUAAGUGCCAACCUGCUAAAGAAGCUCUUU